rnacentral:rRNA from 1 species
AACAAACGCUGGCGGCGUGCCUAAUACAUGCAAGUCGAACGGGGAAAGCUUUCGGGUGAGUACUAGUGGCGCACGGGUGAGGAACGCGUGGAUAAUCUGCCUUAGAGUGGGGGAUAACUAGUCGAAAGAUUAGCUAAUACCGCAUAAGACCACGAGAGCUGCGGCUUUUGAGGUCAAAGGUUUUUCGCUCUAAGAUGAGUCCGCGUAAGAUUAGCUAGUUGGUGAGGUAACGGCUCACCAAGGCGACGAUCUUUAACUGGUCUGAGAGGGUGAUCAGUCACACUGGAACUGAGACACGGUCCAGACUCCUACGGGAGGCAGCAGUAGGGAAUAUUGCACAAUGGAGGAAACUCUGAUGCAGCGACGCCGCGUGAGUGAUGAAGGCCUUCGGGUCGUAAAGCUCUGUCGCAGGGGAAUAACACAAUGAAGGUACCCUGUAAGAAAGGAUCGGCUAACUUCGUG